AUCCAGUUGGCGAGUCCCAAAUAGAACGAAAUACUUGUCCUGGAU
rnacentral:hammerhead_ribozyme from 1 species